GCCAAGCUAGCCAAGUCGGUCACGGCGCGUGUCUGAAAAACACGAGAUUCAGGUUCGAUUCCUGAGCUUGGCA
rnacentral:tRNA from 1 species